AGAGUGUCAGGCGAAAACGAAACUGCACUUACAGCCCUCCACCAAGGCGCAGAGAGCUGUUGUGCAGAAGAAACGACUCACCUGCAACUCCGAGCUACGGGCAGAUGCGCAAAAGAAUAAAACAUGCCAGCUUGCUGAGAUAUGCUGGGGUUGUCUCGUGCGUACAGCAGGGGUCUUGAGAGCAGGGGGAAUCAGCUGGAGAGCAGGAGGCCGGCUCUGCAGCUCCAUCUCUGCGCCUCACCUUGCCCGCCUGUAAGGCAGCACGGUUUCUGCCUCCUUGUAAAACGACCUCAGUGCCUCUGACCAAAAGCUCUUCGGGUGAGCAAUAUUUUUCUUGAUGCGACAACAGCCACGCAGCCCUCACUCCAUGUGUUGGGUCUCCUGUGCCGAUGCAGAGCAGUAUCUGGGAUCCCCUGCGAGAAGGGAGGUGUGUGCCCGUGGACCUUCCCCAAGCCACUGCUUGCCUCCUCCCUGCAGCCAGACAUUGUCCUCUCCUGCUGCGAGAGCACUGUACCUUGCUUAGCAGUUUACAUGUCACCUAGUCAAGGCAGGGCUGUUGAUGGAGUUGCUAGUGGUCCUCCUGCUAGUGCUUCCCCUGCUGGCCAUCUAUGUUGAGCCUAAGUCGCCAUCCUUCAGCAAAUGAUGCUAUCUGCGGAUCUUCCCAUAUUUGACUGCUUGAGCAAGGAACCGGUCUGCCACAGCUCCUAGCUGCUUAGCAGUGUUGAUUUAGGAGUUAUUAUUCUGGGCUCAUAGUAACUGCAAGAAAAUCAAGUUCCAAGUGUUUCUGCCAAAAGAGGGAAAUGAAAUGAGCAAGUCAACAGAAAAUUCCACUUGUCAAACACCAUUUGCUUACGACUAUGGCUUUGUUAAGGAGACUCGUGUUCGGACAAGUUGCACGGAGUAAACAGUUUGCUUUUGCAGCGGGAUAACCCCAGUGCCCAGAAAGGACUCUUGGUCGCGACAGCUGUGGUCCUCAAACGAGCGAACAGGAAGAAAAACCCGAGCCACUUCUGACACUUACAAAUUAUAUCUUCUGAAUAAUGCAUGACGCAUCCAGAUUGGCUAUGGGAGGGGGAAGGGGGGAACGCUUUUUCAAUGGACAACCAGACGGAUAAGGAUUGUAUUAUAAGAAGAGUUUGACAUACCAAGGGAAAAAAAAAAAGCCCAAGAACUCGCACACACUUUGAGAUUGACUGUCAAAUCAUUUCACAUCUGUACCUAAAGCAAACAGACAUAAUGCUAACAGCUUGCUCGAGCUCAGAAAUGCCACCCACUAAUCAGUCCACCUGUGGAAUUCUCAGUCCAUCUUGCAAGUCGUGUACCCGAUUGCCAAGACGCCUGACAAGAAAAUGUAUAUUAAAAUGUUGAGUAAGACUGGAAAUACAAUGUGGUGUAGUAUAAACAGAAUGCGCUCGCUGUGCGGGAAGCGGAGAUGCCUUUUCAUUCCUCUCAGGAGCAGAGGCGAUGACCCGGCGCUGCUCGCUCCCGCUCGCGCCA